rnacentral:rRNA from 1 species
GUACGGAAGGCGGCAGCUAAGAAUCUUCCGCAAUGGGGGAAACCCUGACGGAGCGACGCCGCGUGGAUGAUGAAGGCCGUAAGGUUGUAAAAUCCUUUUGUCGGUGAAGAAUAAGGGAGGGAGUGGAAAGCCCUCCUGAUGACGUUAGCCGACGAAUAAGCCCCGGCUAAUUACGUGCCAGCAGCCGCGGUAAUACGUAUGGGGCAAGCGUUGUUCGGAUUUAUUGGGCGUAAAGGGCGUGUAGGCGGCUCAUCAAGUCUGGUGUGAAAAUGCAGGGCCUAACUCUGCAAAUGCGCUGGAAACUGGUGGGCUUGAGUUCUUGAGGGGAAGCUGGAAUUCCAGGUGUAGGAGUGAAAUCUGUAGAUAUCUGGAAGAACACCGGUGGCGAAGGCGAGCUUCUAUCAGAGGACUGACGCUGAGGCGCGAAAGCGUGGGGAGCAAACAGGAUUAGAUACCCCGGU